UACGUAGGGAGCAAGCGUUGUCCGGAAUCAUUGGGCGUAAAGCGUGCGCAGGCGGUUAUGUAAGACAGGUGUGAAAUCCCAGGGCUUAACCUUGGAACUGCAUUUGUGACUGCAUAGCUAGAGUACGGUAGAGGGGGAUGGAAUUCCGCGUGUAGCAGUGAAAUGCGUAGAGAUCCGGAAGAACACCGGUGGCGAAGGCGGCCUGCUGGGCAGUUUAGCUGACACUGAGGCGCGACAGCGUGGGGAGCAAACAGG
rnacentral:rRNA from 1 species